rnacentral:rRNA from 1 species
AUUGAACGCUGGCGGCAGGCCUAACACAUGCAAGUCGAGCGGAUGAAGGGAGCUUGCUCCUGGAUUCAGCGGCGGACGGGUGAGUAAUGCCUAUGAAUCUGCCUGGUAGUGGGGGAUAACGUCCGGAAACGGGCGCUAAUACCGCAUACGUCCUGAGGGAGAAAGUGGGGAAUCUUCGGACCUCACGCUAUCAGAUGAGCCUAGGUCGGAUUAGCUAGUUGGUGGGGUAAAGGCCUACCAAGGCGACGAUCCGUAACUGGUCUGAGAGGAUGAUCAGUCACACUGGAAGUGAGACACGGUCCAGACUCCUACGGGAGGCAGCAGUGGGGAAUAUUGGACGAUGGGCGAAAGCCUGAUACAGCCAUGCCGCGUGUGUGAAGAAGGUCUUAGGAUUGUAAAGCACUUUAAGUUGGGAGGAAGGGCAGUAAGUUAAUACCUUGCUGUUUUGACGUUACCAACAGAAUAAGCACCGGCUAACUUCGUG